rnacentral:rRNA from 1 species
AUACGUAGGGAGCGAGCGUUGUCCGGAAUUACUGGGUGUAAAGGGAGCGUAGGCGGGACGGCAAGUCAGAUGUGAAAUACAUGGGCUCAACCCAUGGGCUGCAUUUGAAACUGCUGUUCUUGAGUGAAGUAGAGGUAAGCGGAAUUCCUGGUGUAGCGGUGAAAUGCGUAGAUAUCAGGAGGAACACCGGUGGUGAAGGCGGCUUACUGGGCUUUUACUGACGCUGAGGCUCGAAAGCGUGGGGAGCAAACAGGAUUAGAUACCCUGGUAGUCCACGCUGUAAACGAUGAUCACUAGGUGUGGGGGGACUGACCCCUUCCGUGCCGCAGUUAACACAAUAAGUAUUCCGCCUGGGGAGUACGGCCGCAAGGUUGAAACUCAAAUGAAUUGGCGGGG